rnacentral:rRNA from 1 species
GACGAACGCUGGCGGCGUGCCUAAUACAUGCCAGUCGAGCGAGCGGAACUAACAGAUUUACUUCGGUAAUGACGUUAGGAAAGCGAGCGGCGGAUGGGUGAGUAACACGUGGGGAACCUGCCCCAUAGUCUGGGAUACCACUUGGAAACAGGUGCUAAUACCGGAUAAGAAAGCAGAUCGCAUGAUCAGCUUUUAAAAGGCGGCGUAAGCUGUCGCUAUGGGAUGGCCCCGCGGUGCAUCAGCUAGUUGGUAAGGUAAAGGCUUACCAAGGCGAUGAUGCAUGGCCGAGUUGAGGGACUGAUCGGCCACAUUGAGACUGAGACACGGCCCAAACUCCUACGGGAGGCAGCAGUAGGGAAUCUUCCACAAUGGACGCAAGUCUGAUGGAGCAACGCCGCGUGAGUGAAGAAGGUUUUCGGAUCGUAAAGCUCUGUUGUUGGUGAAGAAGGAUAGAGGUAGUAACUGGCCUUUAUUUGACGGUAAUCAACCAGAAAGGCACGGCUAACUACGU